AUUGAACGCUGGCGGCAUGCCUUACACAUGCAAGUCGAACGGUAACAGGUCUUCGGAUGCUGACGAGUGGCGAACGGGUGAGUAAUACAUCGGAACGUGCCUAGUAGUGGGGGAUAACUACUCGAAAGAGUGGCUAAUACCGCAUGAGAUCUACGGAUGAAAGCAGGGGAUCGCAAGGCCUUGCGCUACUAGAGCGGCCGAUGGCAGAUUAGGUAGUUGGUGGGAUAAAAGCUUACCAAGCCGACGAUCUGUAGCUGGUCUGAGAGGACGAUCAGCCACACUGGGACUGAGACACGGCCCAGGCUCCUACGGGAGGCAGCAGUGGGGAAUUUUGGACAAUGGGCGCAAGCCUGAUCCAGCAAUGCCGCGUGCAGGAUGAAGGCCUUCGGGUUGUAAACUGCUUUUGUACGGAACGAAAAGCCCUGGGUUAAUACCCUGGGGUCAUGACGGUACCGUAAGAAUAAGCACCGGCUAACUACGUGCCAGCAGCCGCGGUAAGAC
rnacentral:rRNA from 1 species